GCAAGCUCCUAACCCUCUCCUCCUGUUCUUUAAUUCCCAUGAGAGACUCCGUAGUUUCUCGUAUUUUAUCCCAUCCCUUACUUUAAUUCGGCGCUUAACAUUAUUUAUUGAAUUAUUAUUCAUUUCUUUUAAUUUAAAUUAAAUCCGAAACUUCUUAAACUUUAUUUGUCGUGAGCCUACAGGGGUUUGUACUGCCCCCACUCCUCUUGGGAAUGAUGUUGAACCUUACUUGUGGACUAGUUUCCUAGACGUGCGGGUUUGUUUACGAUUUUCUCGGGUUUGUUUAUGGUUCGGUUAGAGCUAUCGAGCAGUGGGGCAGGGGUCGGCUGUUUGGUGAUGUUGGAGUAGACUAUUGUACGGCCUUGAAGUGGACCGUUAGGUGGACACUCCUAGUCACUGGCCGUUGACCAGUGCCGGGCACUGCUGACUAGCUCUACCAGUAUGUGAUUUACUGCACGUUUAGAUUCAUUAUAUUACUGUUCAUGAUUUGAUAUGCACAUGGGUACGGGUUGCAUGUUGGGAUAUUCAUUUGUUAAGUAUGCUGGGACACGGACAUUCUAGCUUGGUUAGAUUGCAUCCAGCACGGGCAUAUGCAUUGGGUGUGGUUUACUAUGUGGGCGAAGCAUGGCCUGAUGCCUGGAUGUAUGAGUGCCAAUGUAUCAUGUUGAUGCUCACUAUACCAUUGCAUUUUUAUGUGCAUUGCAUGAUUACUGACAGUUAUCAGUUCUCAGACGGGAGGACCGUUCUGAGGGAGCCUAUAGCUUGGGUGUCGGGAGUAUCGACAGAGAUAUACGGGUGACAGGAGCACCGACCCAGGACAAUGCGUACAAGUUUGUUGAAGAUAUAUGUUGCCUAUCAGGGCAACGGUAGGUUGGUAUGGGACUUGGGUGCCGUGUGUCUUGUGUGGACCCCAAGGACUGGUAGUGGCAGCGUGGGCCAUGGCAAAGGAAUCAACAUCUAGCGGCAGAGUCGAUAUGGUGUACAGGCAAUCCCGUCAGUCUCAGUCAACUCUGAUGGUUGUGUAGGGUUUAUUCUUUUAUUCUUACCGUGCCAAGUUAUUUCUCGAGUCUCGUGUAUGUCGGCACAGGAGUCUGUAUCCAUUUAUUUAUCUUGUGACCGUUGUGCUAGUGGGGUACCCGUAGUGCAUGCAUGUAUAUAUGGUUUCGCUUCCGUUGUUUUAAUUCUUGUUUAUGCAUGUCAGGGUAGUUUCUGUCUUGUGUUCAUUCUUUUUCUCAUCCCGUAGGCGCUCCUGUUCGGGUAGUACAGAUGGGUGGGGAUAUCCCAGCGAUGGUGCUUACAAGAGUUUUGUAAGGAACAAUCCAAUAAAUUUUAAAUAAAUUUGGGUGCCUAAGGAUGUGCUUUAUGUUAACAUGAAUGGACCCAAAAAGGUUUGGGUACCAAAGGGUGCAAAUUGAUUCCUUUUUUGGUAGGUUGCUCUGAUUUCAAGCCAAAUGAAGAGCAAGUGGUUCCGCGAUAGUCGAUGCUCCAAACACAUGACUAGGGAUGAACAGCUCUUCAACAACAUCACCUACAAGUAUGGAGAGAACUGGGGAGGCUGGCGCACAGAAGCGGCGGCCAUUUUUAAAAUGAAUUGAUUUGGCAGGAUUGGGCAGAGACUUCUGAGAGGAGGCGCAAGGAAUUUAAAGAAGGUAGCGGCAGAGCAUGAAAGACGCAAUAGAGAGAUUGAAGCAGAGCAGGCGCACGCAACGGCAAGUGCAUGCGGAGGCGGACACGAUUUGUUUAACCCAGAUCUGAACAGAUCUGGGCUAAGGAAUUUCUGUCUUCUUCUUCAUUCUUCGAUUAAUUUUCUAAUGCUUUUUCUGUUACUUUGGGUUUUAAUUAAUUUUGCCAUGAACUAAUUUAUUGAACUAAGA